rnacentral:rRNA from 1 species
AGAGUUUGAUCCUGGCUCAGAACGAACGCUGGAGGCGUGCCUAAUACAUGCAAGUCGCACGAGAAAGUCCUUCGGGAUGAGUACAGUGGCGCACGGGUGAGUAAUACAUAGGAACGUACCUUUUGGUGGGGAACAACCACGGGAAACUGUGGCUAAUACCGCAUAGUCUUGAAAAAGUAAAGAUGGCCUCUGUUUACAAGCUAUCGCCAAAAGAGCGGCCUAUGUCCCAUUAGCUAGUUGGUAAGGUAAUGGCUUACCAAGGCAACGAUGGGUAGCUGGUCUGAGAGGACGAUCAGCCACACUGGAACUGAGAUACGGUCCAGACUCCUACGGGAGGCAGCAGUAGGGAGUAUUGCGCAAUGGGCGAAAGCCUGACGCAGCAACGCCUCGUGAGUGAAGAAGGCCUUCGGGUUGUAAAGCUUUUUCGACAGGGGUGAAGGGUGGUAUGGUAAAUAAUCAUAUCAUCUGACGGUACCUGAUGAAGAAGCACCUGCUAACUCCGUGCCAGCAGCAGCGGUAAUACGGAAGGUGCAAGCGUUGUUCGGAAUUACUGGGCGUAAAGAGCACGUAGGCGGAUUUGUAAGUCGAGUGUUAAAUCCCUGGGCUUAACCCAGGACUUGCAUUCGAAACUACAAACCUUGAAUGCCAGAGAGGGUGGGAGAAUUCCUGGUGUAGAAGUGAAAUUCGUAGAUAUCAGGAGGAAUACCUGAGGCGAAGGCGCCUGCCUGGCUGUGCAUUGACGCUGAGGUGCGAAAGCGUGGGGAGCAAACAGGAUUAGAUACCCUGGUAGUCCACGCCGUAAACGAUGGAUACUAGGUGUUCGGAGUGUUAACCCUCUGAGUACCGAAGCUUACGCACUAAGUAUCCCGCCUGGGGAGUACGGUCGCAAGGCUAAAACUCAAAGGAAUUGACGGGGGUCCGCACAAGCGGUGGAGUAUGUGGUUCAAUUCGACGCAACGCGAAGAACCUUACCUGGGUUUGAAGUCUCUUGACAACCUCAGAGAUGAGGCUUUCCCUUCGGGGACAAGAUGAUAGGUGCUGCAUGGCUGUCGUCAGCUCGUGUCGUAAGAUGUUGGGUUAAGUCCCGCAACGAGCGCAACCCCUGUUCCUAGUUACCACCAUUAAGUUGGGGACUCUAGGAAGACUGCCGGUGUUAAACCGGAGGAAGGCGGGGAUGACGUCAAGUCCUCAUGGCCCUUAUGUCCAGGGCGACACACGUACUACAAUGGCAGAGACAAAGCGACGCGAAACCGCGAGGUGGAGCCAAUCGCAAAAACACUGUCCAAGUCCGGAUUGAAGUCUGCAACUCGACUUCAUGAAGCUGGAAUCGCUAGUAAUCGCAGAUCAGAACGCUGCGGUGAAUACGUUCCCGGGCCUUGUACACACCGCCCGUCACACCACGAAAGUGGUUAUAACCAGAAGUGUGUGAGCCAACCGCAAGGAGGCAGCAUACCAAGGUUGUAGCCGUGAUUGGGGUGAAGUCGAAACAAGGUA